UUGAAGCCGAACAACAUUGUAAACCUAAUCUAGUUUCUCUUCUGAUCUCAAUUAUCUCCAGAAAUUGUUCUUACUCAAACUGAUAUUUAUUUGUCAAGACACUCUCAUCUUUCUGUUCAUGAAUUUACAAAAUGGUUGAUGUACAACUAAAACGUAAUUCUGAAGAUGUGGGAUGGGAAUAUGGAGUGUUGUAUGAUCCAAAAACUCCAGAUAAGGUGAAAUGCAAGUUGUGUGGAAAAGAAAUAUCUGGUGGAGUUUAUAGGAUGAAAGAACAUAUUGCUCAUCAGAGGGGAAAUGUUUCUGCUUGCCCAUUGUCUACAAAGGAGGAUCAAGCUAAGUGUAAGAAUGCACUUAUAGAAGCAAAGAGAAGGAAAACAAAGAAGAGAGUACGUGAUAAAGAGCUUAGAUCUGAGGUGAAUAUAAAUAAACAGCAUUUGGCUAGUGAACUGCAAGAAGAAUUUGGAACUCAAGCGGCUUCUCACUUCCAAGGUCCCAUUGAUGUCAUGUACCUACGUUACAAAAGCUAGCAACUAGAGUGCUUGCUUUGACUUCUAGCUCUUCUGGUUGUGAAAGAAAUUGGAGUAGCUUUGAAGCGAUCCACACUAAAAAAGGAACAAAUUAAUGGCCAGUCGUCUAAACAGCCUAGUUUAUGUCCAGUUUAAUGCAAGACUUUUUAACAAGCACAAAAAAUCAAGGAGAAAGCGGUGGAUGUGAUCGUAGAUGAUGGUAAUGAAGAAACUGUGGAAGAUUGGAUUGUGGAGCAACAUCAAGAAGACCAAAGUACUGGUGUUGGUAUUGUACCUAAUACCCAAUAUUCAAAGGUAAGAGAGCUUUAUGAUGAUGAUUUUGAAUCUGAGGAAGAAGAUGAAGUAAUGGUUGACAUGGAUUUUGAACGGAAUGUUUUUCAUGGAACCCCUGAGUUUUGUGACACACCAAUGGGUUACUAAGUUGCAGAUAAUCAAGAAGAAGUCUUCACUAAACAAAAAGUCUAACACAUGCUAAUUACUUGACCAU